rnacentral:lncRNA from 1 species
GGCUGGGUUCCGCAUUCUAUUCCACAAUUAGGGUUUCACACUGCCCCCACACCCCCGUGAGAAUAAUCACAAUCCCCCCUCUGAACUCUUUGGGUUUUGUUAUAUACAUAAAAUUUAUUCUCAAGUAAUGCUGGAAUCCUGCUCCACACACACGAGUACAGUCAAAAGCAAUGCUGGAAUUGUGGUUACAAUUCUCACGGAUCCAACGGGAUGUAAUAGCAGCCUUACAUAAUGUAUGUAGAUUGUAAUAGGCUCUUGGUUACACAAGGUAAUUAAAAGGAAUUCUACAGUACCACAAAUCUAUUCGAUAAUACACAGAAAGUGCAUCGGAUUGAGAAGUAAAAGUAGAUACUUCACAUUGUACUCUUUACUCCGCCCCCUUGCGUAUUAGGUGUUAAGUUGUGUGUUGUAACUCUUUUACUUCAUCCAUGCAUCAGGUAAACCCUAUUUUGUGUAUAUAUUUAUAUGUAUAUAUUCAUAGAUUGCAUAAAUUUUGUGUGAAAAAUGGUGAAGACGUGGAUGUUUUUAUUCAAACAGAAAUUGCGUGAUAAAGCCUUAAACCUGCUGCAAAAGGUAUGAUCAGUAAAGAGUGUUGGAGUUUCAUUCUGACCAACAGUUGAGAAGAAAAAUACAAAAAGUAAAAAAAUGUAGUAGACUCGGCAAACAAAAAACGGAGUUGAAUAAGCAGCAUAACGUAGCAUGUGGAGAAAGUGAAAUACUUUUGCAUGGUGGAUGAUGCCUCGGGCGAUGGCUGCGGGUGUGACGACGCGGAGAACGCAGACAGUGGGCGCCGUCGUCGCGUUGUCAUAGAUUGAUGGUUACAGGAAAACACAGGGGAAGUUAGAGAUAGAGUGAGCACAGUGACAACAAGAGUGGGAGGAACCGCGGCCAACACGGAAUCGCUCGGAGCUGCAGGUCCGACCGCCAGUUGCAGAUGGGGUACAAUCGGUGUGGAAACU